rnacentral:rRNA from 1 species
UAGGGAAUCUUCCACAAUGGGCGAAAGCCUGAUGGAGCGACGCCGCGUGUGUGAUGAAGGGUUUCGGCUCGUAAACACUGUUGUAAGAGAAGAAUGACAUUGAGAGUAACUGUUCAAUGUGUGACGGUAUCUUACCAGAAAGGAACGGCUAAAUACGUGCCAG